AGAGACAGCAGCCGCCGCGGUAAUACGAAAGGGGCUAGCGUUGCUCGGAAUUACUGGGCGUAAAGGGCGCGUAGGCGGACAGUUCAGUCGGGGGUGAAAGCCCGGGGCUCAACCUCGGAAUUGCCUUCGAUACUGGCUGUCUUGAGUAUGAGAGAGGUGUGUGGAACUCCGAGUGUAGAGGUGAAAUUCGUAGAUAUUCGGAAGAACACCAGUGGCGAAGGCGACACACUGGCUCAUUACUGACGCUGGGGCGCGAAAGCGUGGGGAGCAAACAGGAUUAGAUACCGCGUAGUCCCUGUCUCUUAUACA
rnacentral:rRNA from 1 species